GUGAGGCCGAGGGGCGGCGGCGCCUGCGCAGCGCUGCGGGCGGCGGAAGGCGCCGAGCCCCGGCCAUGGCGCGGCGCGCCCUGAGGGGGCUGCUGCUGCUGGAGGCGGCGGGGCUGCUCGGCGCCCUCUUACUCUACCGCGCCAUGGACCGCAGCCAAGAUUUCAGAUACACAAUGCAGAAGAGGUUUCCAUCAAUUCUGGAAGUUUAUUACAAAUCCAAUGAGUGGUCUGGAAUUCAUGGCAUAAGGGAGAAUGACCAGAUGACAUGGUUAAGCAGCAAGAACUGAACCCUCUGUGCCUGAACUGUUUCUUCUUUUUGAUGAUGCUUUUCACAUCCCUGUUGUGAAGCCACUUGUCACGCUCUAUUUCCCACUGGAUCUGUUUGACAUCUGUAGGAGGCAAGAUGCCAGUAUACCAGCAUCUUGGAGUUUUCUCUUCUUUCCUCGUCUUGGUCCUUCAAACAAAAGGUAUUAUUCUUAUGAGACACAACUUCAAGUUCCCAAAGACACUAAAAUAAAGUUCUACCACAUUUCAAA